rnacentral:rRNA from 1 species
AUGCCUCCAUGGUUGCAUAGGCAACCAACACAUCGGCGGUUUCAAGGCUGGUCCUGGGCGGCGCCUCGUCAGCGUCGUGGAUGGUUGGGCAGCGCCUUGGCAUUCCAGAGGGGCGAAGUGGGCCGGCCAGCAUGCGUGGGGCGCAAAGGUCACGAGCAGGAGGGAGAUGCGCUGGAGGUGAUGGAGGAGGAAGUCGGAGGUGGCAUCAGCGUCCAUGGCGACGCCACCCCGGGAACCCUCCUGCACACCUCGGCAUGGUUCGUCUGUGCCACAUGGUGGCCAAGAUGCUGGAGUGGAUCAAGAGCGGACCGUAGCAGCAGGAGCAAGGAUCUGGUGGUGGUUCAUGAUAUUGGACUGCAUUACUAA